rnacentral:rRNA from 1 species
AGAAUCAACGCUGGCGGCGUGCCUAACACAUGCAAGUCGAACGAGAAAGUGGAGCAAUCCAUGAGUAAAGUGGCGCACGGGUGAGUAACACGUGACUAACCUACCCCUUGAGUGGGGGAUAACCUAGGGAAACCUGGGCUAAUACCGCAUAAUACCUUCGGGUCAAAGGAGCAAUUCGCUUAAGGAGGGGGUCGCGGCCGAUUAGUUAGUUGGCGGGGUAAUGGCCCACCAAGACUGUGAUCGGUAU